GGGCGUGUGGCUCAGUUGGUAGAGCGCCCGCUUAGCAAGUUUCACACAAGCAUGCGGAAGGUCCCCGGUUCGAUUCCGGGCUCGUCCA